rnacentral:tRNA from 1 species
CGGGGAUAGCUCAGUUGGGAGAGCGUCAGACUGAAGAUCUGAAGGUCACGUGUUCGAUCCACACGUUCACCG